GCCCUCGUGAUGUAACGGAAGCCUCCCGCUCUGAUACGGCGGGCGCGUCGGUUCGACUCCGACCGAGGGAA
rnacentral:tRNA from 1 species